AGCUCCAAUAGCGUAUAUUAAAGUUGCUGCAGUUAAAAAGCUCGUAGUUGCAUUUCCGAGGCAAGGGAUUAGUCCGACCUUUGGUGGGUAUUUAAUCCUCUUGCCUCGUCCUUGAGUGGUGCUUCUUGGUAUUAAGUUAUCGAGGAGAUAGCCGCUCAUCGUUUACUGUGAGAAAAUUAGAGUGUUCAAAGCAGGCUUAUGCCGUUGAAUAUAUUAGCAUGGAAUAAUAAGAUAGGACCUCGGUACUAUUUUGUUGGUUUGAGAACCAAGGUAAUGAUGAAUAGGGACAGUUGGGGGUAUUCGUAUUCAGUUGUCAGAGGUGAAAUUCUUAGAUUUCUGAAAGACGAACUACUGCGAAAGCAUUUACCAAGGAUGUUUUCA
rnacentral:rRNA from 1 species